rnacentral:tRNA from 1 species
CGGGGUGUAGCAUAAUGGUAGUGUUCGCGGCUGGGGGUCGUGAGGCCCGAGUUCGAUUCUCGGCACCCCGA